rnacentral:rRNA from 1 species
UGGGGAAUUUUGGACAAUGGGGGAAACCCUGAUCCAGCAAUGCCGCGUGUGCGAAGAAGGCCUUCGGGUUGUAAAGCACUUUUGUCAGGGAAGAAAUCCUUUGGGCUAAUACCCUAGGGGGAUGACGGUACCUGAAGAAUAAGCACCGGCUAACUACGUGCCAGCAGCCGCGGUAAUACGUAGGGUGCAAGCGUUAAUCGGAAUUACUGGGCGUAAAGCGUGCGCAGGCGGUUGUGUAAGACAGGUGUGAAAUCCCCGGGCUUAACCUGGGAAUUGCAUUUGUGACUGCACGACUAGAGUGUGUCAGAGGGGGGUGGAAUUCCACGUGUAGCAGUGAAAUGCGUAGAUAUGCGGAGGAACACCGAUGGCGAAGGCAGCCUCCUGGGAUAACACUGACGCUCAUGCACGAAAGCGUGGGGAGCAAACA